ACUGUUUGGCACAAAGGAUACUUUAAGAAGCCGAAAACAUACUCCUCACUCAUUGCAUGACUUCAAGGCAGACAUAAUAAAAAGGUGUAUAGAAGAGGUUGUUAAAAAGUUACAUUUUAUAUCUCGAUCAGCAUCUGGACCCAUCAUCAAAGUUGUUGCAGAUAAAAUGGGCAAGAAAUAAGGGAUAUCUUGGAGCGCUGGCCUGCAUUAUCAGAUGCAACACAGGUAAAACAAUGCAGUUGAAGUAUGGAGAGAAGUAGCCAUUCACUGUCUUGUUGUCUAUCUUGGAGAGAAAGAAGAGGAUCUUUUCAAGGAGUUUGCUAAUACACAAGAAAUUGAGGCAGACCUUGAAAAGCAAGUGAUGAAAAUUGCCAUCAUUGGUGAUCUGUCAACUAUGGAAUUAAACUACAAGACGGGAACCAUCAUUGUUGAGGGCAUCAGAAUCCUGAUUGGAAUGAAUAUCUCAAGGUGUUGUGCUCUGCUAACGGGCAUAAUAUAUGCUCUGAAUCUGAGCUACCCCAAGGAGCUUAAAUAUACUUGUUAAGUGUUUCAGAAGCUGUUUCUUGAACUUGAUGGACUGAAUCCCAGUGCAAAAGUAAUGCGUCUCAAGAACAGCAUUUUCUGAAGCCUCUACUUAUUUCAAAGUACAUUUUGCUCUUUAUGUUGCAACUACAUUGUUUUGUAUUUUGAAGUCCACAUGCUGAUCUUUUUAUUUCAUACUGUUUAUAUGAAUGGUGGCAUUUAUAUAUGUUUGUUUAUAAUAAUACAAAUGUUACAUGUUUUACAAUUAAGGUUAACUAAUAACAAGUAGUUUGUAAAAUAUUCAAUUUAUAAGUUAAUAGUUAGCUUUAAGUGUAUCAAUGCCUAUAACUCUUGUUUUGAUGGAAUUCAUUGUGAUGGCAUAGCUAUGCAUGCAUGCACAUUUUUGAAGGCAAAGCUGACGUGUCAGUUUGUUUAUAAUUUGUGAGACAGUACACAUUUGUGUUUUGUAAACUUUGAGAAGUGCAAUAUUUAAAAUAAAACACUGAAAACUGUGUUUCUAAAUAAAUAAAAAGCUACUGAAAUUAAAA
ensembl:processed_transcript